rnacentral:rRNA from 1 species
ACGGAAGGCAGCAGUGGGGAAUAUUGGACAAUGGGGGGAACCCUGAUCCAGCGACGCCGCGUGAGUGAAGAAGUAUUUCGGUAUGUAAAGCUCUAUCAGCAGGGAAGAUGAUGACGGUACCUGACUAAGAAGCACCGGCUAAAUACGUGCCAGCAGCCGCGGUAAUACGUAUGGUGCAAGCGUUAUCCGGAUUUACUGGGUGUAAAGGGAGCGUAGACGGCGAUGCAAGUCUGAUGUGAAAGCCCGGGGCUCAACCCCGGCACUGCAUUGGAAACUGUGUUGCUAGAGUGCAGGAGAGGUAAGUGGAAUUCCUAGUGUAGCGGUGAAAUGCGUAGAUAUUAGGAGGAACACCAGUGGCGAAGGCGGCUUACUGGACUGUAACUGACGUUGAGGCUCGAAAGCGUGGGGAGCAAACAGGAUUAGAUACCCUGGUA